rnacentral:piRNA from 1 species
UGAACAUUGUCCACACAUGGCUUUGGU